UGAUGCCCCUCGCCCACCCUUGAAGAUUCCGGGUGGGCGAGGGAAUCGUCAGAGGGAUC
rfam:Pongo abelii chromosome 1.